ensembl:snoRNA
AUCCUUUUGUGGUUCAAAAGCCAAAUGAUUGGGGUUUUUAUACUCAAGCCUCACUCGAACAGGAACCUUGUUACUUAUGCACAUUACUCAUCUGAUG